CGCUCGCAGAGUAAACCAGUUUACUGGUGUGCGAAGCGAAGGCAAUCACAACAGACCCAAUCAACCCCGGCUAGGGAAGAGACGGCGAGGGAAAAUCGAAUGAAGUGCUGGAGUACACGAGCGGCGGACGGCUGAGUAACGCGUAGGAACGUACCCCAAACUGAGGGAUAAGCACCAGAAAUGGUGUCUAAUACCGCAUGUGCUCUAAGGAGUAAAGCUUCGGCGGUUUGGGAACGGCCUGCGUACGAUUAGAUUGUUGGUGAGGUAAUGGCUCACCAAGUCGACGAUCGUUAGCUGGUCUGAGAGGAUGAUCAGCCAGACUGGGACUGAGAACGGCCCAGACUCCUACGGGAGGCAGCAGGUAGGGGUAUUUUCCACAAUGGACGAAAGUCUGAUGGAGCAACGCCGCGUGCAGGAUGAAUGCCUUCGGGUUGUAAACUGCUUUUAUCUGUGACGAGUAUGACGGUAGCAGAUGAAUAAGGAUCGGCUAACUCCGUG
rnacentral:rRNA from 1 species